rnacentral:rRNA from 1 species
AGAGUUUGAUCCUGGCUCAGAUUGAACGCUGGCGGCAUGCCUUACACAUGCAAGUCGAACGGCAGCACGGGAGCAAUCCUGGUGGCGAGUGGCGAACGGGUGAGUAAUAUAUCGGAACGUGCCCAGUCGUGGGGGAUAACGCAGCGAAAGCUGUGCUAAUACCGCAUACGAUCUCUGGAUGAAAGCGGGGGACUCGUAAGAGCCUCGCGCGAUUGGAGCGGCCGAUAUCAGAUUAGCUAGUUGGUGGGGUAAAGGCCCACCAAGGCGACGAUCUGUAGCUGGUCUGAGAGGACGACCAGCCACACUGGAACUGAGACACGGUCCAGACUCCUACGGGAGGCAGCAGUGGGGAAUUUUGGACAAUGGGCGCAAGCCUGAUCCAGCAAUGCCGCGUGCAGGAUGAAGGCCUUCGGGUUGUAAACUGCUUUUGUACGGAACGAAAAGGUCUGCCUUAAUACGGUGGGCCCAUGACGGUACCGUAAGAAUAAGCACCGGCUAACUACGUGCCAGCAGCCGCGGCAAUACGUAGGGUGCGAGCGUUAAUCGGAAUUACUGGGCGUAAAGCGUGCGCAGGCGGUUAUAUAAGACAGAUGUGAAAUCCCCGGGCUCAACCUGGGACCUGCAUUUGUGACUGUAUAGCUAGAGUACGGU